UUCUGCAGCAAAAGCAUGUCAAGGUGAUCUCUGUGGGUGGUUAAUAUUUUCCGGAGUUUGUUCUUCAACCAUGAAAAUAUGCAAAGCUGGAGAGCUUGGUGGAUGGUGAUACUGGAAUUGAUUUUGGACAUCGCUCCAGUUCAAGGUUGAAUUGAAAGAUCUUUUUGAAGCUCAGAAGAAGCAGGACAAAAAUACAGUUCUGUAUUGCAGUAUUGUCAGAUUAGAAUGAAGAUGCAUGUCACAGACGGUUGUCUUGCAGCUGAACUUGAAUUCUCUCAAGGGAUAUGGGAGAGCAUGCUGCUGGUGAUCAAGUCACAGUGACUGAGGUGUGAAACAUCUGAUGCCAGUGAAUCAUCCAAGUCAUUCCAUCAGCCUGGUGGUGGGUUGGCAUUGCCUAUGUCCAUGACAAAGGCUAAAGCCUUCCACACAUCCGGUCAGAGGGCAUAAGGGAAGGAGAGGAGGAAAUACAGCAUAAUGCUGAAAGGAAAAUACAAUAUCUGCUUUCCAAAAAGUAACUGGAUGUGGGCUGGUGGGUUUUAUCUUCAGUCUAGUUUCCACCAGGAAGUCUGAAACAAUCAGUACUUUAUUUUGUAAAGGAGUAGAUACUGAUCAUUGGGGCAUUUUGAGUGACCAGAAUUAUUAAUAGCUGUAAAUUACUGAUUUGGGAGAGCCUGAAUGCAAUGUAAGUGAAGUCAACUUCUGCCAAAACAUAGAUGAUAGAAUUGAAUUCAUGUUCUCAGAAGAGAAGGUGGUAGAUUUUUGCUACGAUUAUAUAAAUAUCAAACCAUGGAUUUAAGCUGACCGGCUUUUCAGUUCAGCUGAACAUUAAGUACAGUCUUAAUGGUCUGGUUUGCUGGGAAGAGCACUAUUACAAUAAUCUGCUUUUUACAGCCCAUAUCAAAUACGAACUUGCAUCACUUAUUACAAAGUUUGUGCUUUGGGAGAUAUUUUCACAGCAUCUAGGAGUGAUACCCCACAUUUCUUGGAAUUAGUCCUUAAUGAUACCAUCUUUAGAAAAUGAGCUGUUGCUCAAAUACACUGAUUAUUUUGUGGUUUCUAUCAUAGAAGAUUUUAAGGAAAAGCUAGCUGAAAUCUGGCGAUUUUUUCUAGUAAUUUUAUGGCAUAGAGAGAGAUGGUGUGCAUCUUGAUAAUUUUAUGCUUCUUUUUUUAUAUGUGACGUGAAUAAGAGAGGUGAGAACUCCUAAUUUUUAACUGAACUGAAUACAGGUUUCUAAAUGUGGCCUGCUUGAGAACAGAGGACCAUUACUGUAGUUGUCAUGUAAAAUAAAGUUGGAGUC
rnacentral:lncRNA from 7 species